AAAUUGAAGAGUUUGAUCAUGGCUCAGAUUGAACGCUGGCGGCAGGCCUAACACAUGCAAGUCGAACGGUAACAGGAAACAGCUUGCUGUUUCGCUGACGAGUGGCGGACGGGUGAGUAAUGUCUGGGAAACUGCCUGAUGGAGGGGGGAUAACUACUGGAAACGGUAGCUAAUACCGCAUAACGUCGCAAGACCAAAGAGGGGGACCUUCGGGCCUCUUGCCAUCGGAUGUGCCCAGAUGGGAUUAGCUAGU
rnacentral:rRNA from 1 species